GCGUAAAGGGUACUAAGCGGCUGGCAAGUCUGGGGUCAAAGGCCACAGCUCAACUGUGGGAAGGCCCUGGAAACUGACCGGCUAGAGUGAGGUAAGGGUAGCGGGAAUUCCCGGUGUAGCGGUGAAAUGCAUUGAUAUCGGGAGGAACACCAGUGGCGAAAGCGGAUCUCUGGCCCGUUGCUGACGCUGAGGUGCGGAAAGCUGGGGAGCGAAAGGGAUUAAAUACCCCUAAAAUCGCAGGCCUAAACGAUGGGCGCUAGGUGUUGGGGGAUUAACCAUCGGCGCCGCAGCUAACGCAUUAAGCGCCCCGCCUGGGGAGUACGGCCGCAAGGUUGAAACUCAAAGGAAUUGACGGGGGCCCGCACAAGCGGUGGAGCAUGUGGAUUAAUUCGAUACAAACCGAAGAACCUUACCUGGGCUUGACAUCUACGAGCAACGUCUGGAAACAGGCGCCUCGGGUAACUGACUCGUGGACACCGGUUGCAUGGCUGUCGUCAGCUCGUGCCGUGAGGUGUUGGGUUAAGUCCCGCAACGAGCGCAACCCGCGCCCCAUGUUGCCAACGGGUCAGCCGGGCACUCUUGGGGGACUGCCCGGGUAACCGGGAGGAAGGAGCGGAUGACGUCAAGUCGGCAUGGCGCUUACGCCUGGGGCCUCACACAUGCUACAAUGGGCGCAACAAAGGGUUCCGAUGCCGCGAGGCGGAGGCAAUCCCAAAAAUACGCCCUCAGUUCAGAUCGCAGGCUGCAACUCGCCUGCGUGAAGCCGGAAUCGCUAGUAAC
rnacentral:rRNA from 1 species